UAAAAGCCCAAGGUAAAAAGAAGAAUGGGCCUGGCAAUAGGGUUGAUUGAACUGGCUGAAGGACACCGUGAGGAAAUCAAGGAAAAUAAAUUUAUUUAUUUAUUUCUAAGGAAAAUACAGGACGGAAAGACCUCAGGACGGAAGGUUCUUAGGUCGGUAGGUCCUCAGGACGGAAAGACCUCAGGACGGAAGGUUCUUAGGUCGGUAGGUCCUCAGGACGGAAAGACCUCAGGUCGGAAGGUCCGCAAGACGGAAAGACCUCAAGUCGGAAGGUCUUCAGGUCGGGAGGUCCGCAAGACGGAAAGACCUCAAGUCGGAAGGUCUUCAGGUCGGGAGGUCCGCAAGACGGAAAGACCUCAAGUCGGAAGGUCUUCAGGUCGGGAGGUCCGCAAGACGGAAAGACGAUGAGUCGGAAGGUUUUCAAGUCGGGAG